rnacentral:rRNA from 1 species
GACGAACGCUGGCGGCGUGCUUAACACAUGCAAGUCGAACGGAAAGGCCCUGCUUUUGUGGGGUGCUCGAGUGGCGAACGGGUGAGUAACACGUGAGUAACCUGCCCUUGACUUUGGGAUAACUUCAGGAAACUGGGGCUAAUACCGGAUAGGAGCUCCUGCUGCAUGGUGGGGGUUGGAAAGUUUCGGCGGUUGGGGAUGGACUCGCGGCUUAUCAGCUUGUUGGUGGGGUAGUGGCUUACCAAGGCUUUGACGGGUAGCCGGCCUGAGAGGGUGACCGGCCACAUUGGGACUGAGAUACGGCCCAGACUCCUACGGGAGGCAGCAGUGGGGAAUAUUGCACAAUGGGCGGAAGCCUGAUGCAGCAACGCCGCGUGCGGGAUGACGGCCUUCGGGUUGUAAACCGCUUUCGCCUGUGACGAAGCGUGAGUGACGGUAAUGGGUAAAGAAGCACCGGCUAACUACGUGCCAGCAGCCGCGGUGAUACGUAGGGUGCGAGCGUUGUCCGGAUUUAUUGGGCGUAAAGGGCUCGUAGGUGGUUGAUCGCGUCGGAAGUGUAAUCUUGGGGCUUAACCCUGAGCGUGCUUUCGAUACGGGUUGACUUGAGGAAGGUAGGGGAGAAUGGAAUUCCUGGUGGAGCGGUGGAAUGCGCAGAUAUCAGGAGGAACACCAGUGGCGAAGGCGGUUCUCUGGGCCUUUCCUGACGCUGAGGAGCGAAAGCGUGGGGAGCGAACAGGCUAGAUACCCUGGUAGUCCACGCUGUAAACGGUGGGUACUAGGUGUGGGGUCCAUUCCACGGGUUCCGUGCCGUAGCUAACGCUUUAAGUACACCGCCUGGGGAGUACGGCCGCAAGGCUAAAACUCAAAGGAAUUGACGGGGCCCCGCACAAGCGGCGGAGCAUGCGGAUUAAUUCGAUGCAACGCGUAGAACCUUACCUGGGUUUGACAUGGAUCGGGAGUGCUCAGGGAUGGGUGUGCCUCUUUUGGGGUCGGUUCACAGGUGGUGCAUGGCUGUCGUCAGCUCGUGUCGUGAGAUGUUGGGUUAAGUCCCGCAACGAGCGCAACCCUUGUUCACUGUUGCCAGCACGUUGUGGUGGGGACUCAGUGGAGACCGCCGGGGUCAACUCGGAGGAAGGUGGGGAUGACGUCAAGUCAUCAUGCCCCUUAUGUCCAGGGCUUCACGCAUGCUACAAUGGCUGGUACAGAGAGUGGCGAGCCUGUAAGGGUGAGCGAAUCUCGGAAAGCCGGUCUCAGUUCGGAUUGGGGUCUGCAACUCGACCUCAUGAAGUCGGAGUCGCUAGUAAUCGCAGAUCAGCAACGCUGCGGUGAAUACGUUCCCGGGGCUUGUACACGCCGCCCGUCAAGUCAUGAAAGUUGGUAACACCCGAAGCCGGUGGCCUAACCGUUGUGGGGGAGCCGUCGAAGGUGGGACUGGUGAUUAGGACUAAGUCGUAACAGGGUAGCCGUACCGGAAGG